rnacentral:rRNA from 1 species
AUAUUUACCAGAGUACUAUGAACUAAGAAGUUUAAAACUCAAAGAGCUUGGCGGUGUUUUAGACCUCUCAGGGGAACCNUGUCUCAUAAUCGACAAUCCACGCUAUACCUAACCUUAUUUUGCUUUUACAGUUUGUAUACCGUCGUCCUCAGGUAACUUUUAAAAAUCUAGAAGUUAGCAAAAAAGCUGUAUAAGCUUACACGUCAGAUCAAGGUGCAGCUCAUAUUAAGGUGAGGAUGGGUUACAAUUAUAAAAUCAUAACUACGAAGUAACUAUAAUAAUAUAUAAUUAUAAGG